AGCAAAUGAUGUCUUUUCUCACGAUGGUCUUCCAAGUCCGUGUGGCUUUGACGACAUUGCCUCAAGGCUUUGCUGAUGCUUCCAU